rnacentral:rRNA from 1 species
AGUGAACGCUGGCGGUAUGCCUAACACAUGCAAGUCGAACGGCAGCACAGUAAGAGCUUGCUCUUACGGGUGGCGAGUGGCGGACGGGUGAGGAAUACAUCGGAAUCUACUUUUUCGUGGGGGAUAACGUGGGGAAACUUACGCUAAUACCGCAUACGACCUACGGGUGAAAGCAGGGGAUCUUCGGACCUUGCGCGAUUGAAUGAGCCGAUGUCGGAUUAGCUAGUUGGCGGGGUAAAGGCCCACCAAGGCGACGAUCCGUAGCUGGUCUGAGAGGAUGAUCAGCCACACUGGAACUGAGACACGGUCCAGACUCCUACGGGAGGCAGCAGUGGGGAAUAUUGGACAAUGGGCGAAAGCCUGAUCCAGCCAUACCGCGUGGGUGAAGAAGGCCUUCGGGUUGUAAAGCCCUUUUGUUGGGAAAGAAAAGCAGCAGGUUAAUACCCUGCUGUUAUGACGGUACCCAAAGAAUAAGCACCGGCUAACUUCGUG